rnacentral:lncRNA from 1 species
GAGGUAAGAAUUCUUGUACACCGACCUUCAUGAUAUAGAUAUUUUUGUAACUAUAUAUGUAUGAUAUGCUAAUUAUCUAGAUAAGUAAAUAGCAAAAAUAGUUUAUGAUGGUUUUUAUAUAUUUUGGAUCAUGUAUACUUGUCAACGAUAGUAUGAUGGAUACAUAUGUGGUCAUAACUUGCACGUGCAUAUCGGACUAAUCGAUGUGGUGCUCUUGACUAACCAUGUUAUAUUUGAUUUUUUUGUCACUUGCGGAAAAUGUGAUCGUGGUUAGCCUAAAGCCGGAAAUAAAGUUAAAAAAAAACUGAUAUGUGGAUGUGAACUUGAUUAAAUGAACAAGGGCUUUGGACUUGUCUCAUUAUCAUUUGUUGCCCCGUCACAGGCUGAAAAUGUGAUUCUAUUGGUUGUUCCGUCACAGGCUGGAAAUGCGAAACUACUGGUUGUCUCAUCACAGGCUAGAAAUGUGAAACUGCUGGUUGCCUUAUCAUAGGCUGGAAAUGUGAAACUAUUGGUUGCCGUCACAGGCUGGAAAUAUGAUACAACUGGUUGUUCCGUCAUAAGCUGGAAAUGUGAUACUACUGGUUGCCCCGUUACAGGCUAAAAAUGUGAUACUAUUGGUUGUCCCAUUCAUAGGCUGAAAACAUGACCGAAAUUUAGCCCAAAGUUGAAAAAAUAAUUGACCCGGAUCAAGUUAAAAAGGAAUGAAAUGAAAAGCAUUGAAAUACUAUUGAAGAAUUAUGAGAUAUCGUAUGAUAUAUCACUCUUGAGUGGCUCGAUUCCUAUUGAUAUUUGAUGUACACAUAUUUAUUCGAGUAUUAUUAAUAGUCAAUUUGUAAUUUCAUGAUGUAUGUGGCGAUUUCUUGCUAUUUUCAAACCUAUAUCAUUAUGUUGAUAUGGAUGUGUGGGGAUUCUUACUGGGCUAUAAAGCUUGCAUCACCUCUUUCUUUUUCCAGAGUUGCAAGAUGCAUAGAUUUGGAUGGGUUGGGCACAGACUUCGAGUAUCAGAGUUAUGAGUUAGUUAUUUUUCUUUGAUGCCGAUGAACAUUUGAAGAUCUUGUAACUGAACCAGUUUGAUUAUUUGGAUAUAAUAGUUUUAUUUAUUUAGAUCAAAUAAUUAAUUGUGGAGUUAUUAGAUUUUUGUUUAUAUUAGGUCUUGCAUGAUCUUUAGGGCACUGCUCUAAGGCUCAUGCGGCCGUGUCACAUGGUCGACCCAAAUGAUGGGUUCGGGGCAUGACAGAGUGGUAUCAGAGGUUAAGGUUUAGGUAUUCUAGGGUUUAGGUUCGAAUGGGUGUGAGUGGGGAAAACAUCUAAUAACUCGUUAAAUACACACUGGAUUUUUAAGCAAUCUUAAAAUGCUGAAAAUAACUUGUGUAGGUUGAUAUGGCACGAGGGAGUGGACUUGGGCAUAAUAGCAGGCCGACCUGCUUUGCUGAUGGCUCCAUUGCUUGGAUGCCCUUCGAACAGCAAGAAGGUGCACCACCCUUGCUGGUCAGGGGUACGCAUCAACAGGAUUAUCCUAACAACCUUGUUGGUAACACUCUGGAGAUAGAGACUCCGGAAACGGGAACUCUAGGGACAGAAACCUCGAGUGAACCUAAAAUUCAGCCUGAGGAACCAUUGAGUGCUUCUCAAUUGAUGCAGGCAAUGAUGCAACAACAAACUGCUUUCCGAUCAGACAUGAUAAGAAUGAUGGACAUGCAACAACAGUAGCAACAACAGCGUUUCAUGGAACAGUAGCAACUGCAGCAGCAACAAUUUAUGCAACAAUAGUUGUAGCAGCAACAGUUGAUGCACCAGCAGCAAUUGCAGCAUCAGCAGCAGGUGUUUCUUCAACAUCUGCAGGCACUUUUGACCCUUUAGAGGCUGAGACCUGGCGGAACAAGAUGGAAAAAGUUUUUAAUGCCCUGAUGGGGACAUGGUCACUUUUGCUACAUUUAUACUGCUAGGGAAAGCGGAUACUUGGUGGAAUGUGGUAAGAGGAAAGAUGGGACAAAAUGCUGCAUCUUUGACAUGGGAAGGAUUUAAAGAGAUUUUUCGUGACAAGCAUGUUCUCCGUAGCGUGAGACAGAAGUUUGAGAAUUUACCUGAUUAGAGUAGAGGAACAUGACGGUCACUGAAUAUGCUGCAAAGUUUGAGGAACUGGCUAGGUAUGCUCUAGGACCAGUAGAGAAUGAAGGUGAUUGAGCUGAGAAGUUUGAAAGCGGACUUAGAGUCCAAAUCAAACAUGCAUCCACUUUUGAGCUUUAUUCUUACAAGAAUGUGGUUAAUAAAGCUUUAGUGGUUGAAAGGGAUUUGAAUGACACUCAAGAAGAGAGGGAAAGGAUUAUGAAAAAGAGGAACAGGCAAAAUGGUUUUCAAAAUAAUCACGACAAGAAUACUGAAUCAAGGCCCAAGAAACAAAAUACUGCGAAUGAUAAAACUCAGCUCAAGGGUGCUUUAAAAUGCUAUAGAUGUGGCGGCCCUCACUAUUGGAAAGAGUGCAACUGAUUUGAUAGGAAUUGCUUGGGUGUCCAGCAGGGCCAUAGGGCAGACAUCUGUCCUAAUUGUUGUGAGCAACAGACUCGACAGACACCUCAGCUUAUUCAGGGAGCUCCAGCAAACCAAGCAUCUUAGGAUGGACAACAAGGAGGGCAGCAGAAGCCUAGAACUCAGGGGCGAGUCUACACUUUUACGGAACAGGAUGCUAACGCCUCUAACACUGUGGCGAUAGGUACGAUUAAAAUCUCAUCCAUCCAUGCCAAUGUUUUGUUUGAUCCUAGAGCUACUUAUUCUUUUAGAAGAAAUAAUACAAUGAUUCCUACGCCAUUAGAGACUGAACUGUGUCUCCAUCCCUACUGGAGAUGUUAUCUUAGUUAACUCUGUUUGCAAAGAUUGUAUCUUGAAUUUUAAAGGCAGGUUAAUGAAAGCAAAUUUACUUGUUCUAGAGAUGAAGGAUUUUGAUUUGAUCCUUAGGAUGGACUGGUUGGCAGCGUAUCAUGCCACUGUUGACUGUUUUGAAAAAAUCGUGAAGUUUCAAAUUUUUGGCCAGCCAAAGUUUAGUUUUAGUGGUAAUAGGAUGUUACCUCUGUCAAAAGUAAUCUCAGCCAUACAGGCCAAGCGACUCCUUCGGAAAGGUGGUGAAGGAUUCUUGGUCCUAAUAAUGAACACCCAGCGGAAAGAACUCAAGCUAGAGGAUAUUCCUAUUGUGAAAAAAAAUUUCUGAUAUCUUUCUAGAGGAUAUUCCUGAUAGAGAGGUUGAGUUCUCCAUUGAUUUGGUUCCUAGCACUAGACCAAUUUUUAAGGCUCCAUACCGGAUGGCUCCAGCUGAGUUAAAGGAGUUGAAGGAACAACUGUGGGAGCUAUUGGACAAAGGUUUCAUCAGGCCUAGUAUUUCUUGUUGGAGUGCUCCUGUAUUGUUCGUGAAAAAGAAAGAUCGCAAUUUUCGGCUUUGUAUAGACUGCUGAGAAAUUAAUGGAUUAAUAGUGCGGAACAAAUAUCUUUUAUCAAGAAUUGAUGAUAUAUUUGAUCAGUUGCUAGGGGCAUAAUUUUUUUAAAAAAUUGAUCUUUGCUCUGGCUAUCAUCAGUUAAAAAUAAGGGUUGAGGACGUACCCAAGACAGCUUUCAGAACUAAAUAUGACACUAUGAGUUCUUGGUCAUGCCCUUUGGGUUGACAAAUGCACAUGCAGCCUUUAUGGAUCUUAUUGAUUGGGUGAUCAAGCCCUACCUGGAUCGAUUUGUGGUGAUAUUUAUUGAUGACAUGCUAGUCUAUUCAAAAGCCCACAAGAGCAUGAGGAACGUUUUAGGGCAGUAUUACAAACUCUUAGAGAAAACAAGCUUUAAGGUAAGUUUCAGAAAUGUGAGUUCUUGUUAAACAGUGUCACCUUCCUCGGGCAUGUGAUCUCCAAGGAUGGUAUCUCUGUUGAUCCAAAGAAAGUGGAGGCAGUAGUUGAAUGGAGUAGACCUACUAAUGUGUCCGAAGUGCUCAACUUUUUAGGGAUGGCGGGAUAUUAUCGAAGAUUUGUUGAGGGAUUCUCUUGUAUUGUCAUGCCUCUAUCUCGCCUAACUCAGAAGCGAGUAAAGUUUGAAGGGACGGAAGAAUGUGAACAAAGUUUUCAGGAGUUGAAAAGACGAUUGGUGACAGUUCCGGUAUUGGCUAUUCUAUUUGGGAUGGGAGGUUUCACUAUCUAUAGUGAUGCAUCACGCAAGGGCCUUGGUUGUGUUUUGAUUCAGAAUAAGAAGAUUAUAGCUUAUGCUUUCAGACAGCUAAAAACGUAUGAGUAGAACUACCCUACUCAUGAUUUGGAGAGAAUGCACUAAGAUGUAUUGGAAUUUAAAGGAACAUUUCUAGUGGAGUGGUAUGGAAAAAGAUAUUGCUCAAUUUGUAGCUCAGUGUUUAGUAUGUUGACAGGUAAAGGUAGAGCAUCAAAGACCUACUAGACCAUUGUGUCUUUUCUUAUUCCUUCAUGGAAGUGGGAGCAUAUAACUAUAGAUUUUGUGACUAGCUUGCCAAAAAUCCUAUGGGGUAAUGAUGCGGUGUGGAUAAUUGUUGACCGACUAACUAAGUCAGCACACUUCUUGCCAUUCAGAGUCAGUUUCUCCUUAAAGAGAUUGGCAGGUUUAUAUAUAGAGCAGAUUGUGAGGCUGCAUGAGGUUCCAGUUACCAUUUUGUCGAGUAAAAACAGUAGAUUUGUAUCACAGUUUUGAAGGAGUCUUCAUAAAGUCCUUAGAACCCAAUUGAGCUUCAGCACAACCUUCCGCCCCCAAACUAAUAAGCAGUCAGAAAGGACUAUCCGGAUUUUGGAAGAUAUGCUGAGAGCCUAUGUUAUGGAUUUAGGAGGUGCAUGGGAUAGUCACUUGUCACUAGUAGAGUUUGCUUACAAUAAUAGCUAUCAAUCAAGCAUACAAAUGGCUCCUUUUGAAGCGUUGUAUGGCCGAAAGUGCGGAUCUCCUAUUUCUUGGGAUGAUGUGGGCGAGAGAAAAUUAUUAAGCCUAGAGAUAGUGCAACAAACUAUAGAUAAGGUGCAAGUGAUCAGAGAGCAACAUCGUACGACUCAGAGCCGACAAAAGAGUUAUGCUGAUAAUAGGAGAGAGCUGAAAUUUUAAAUUGGAGAUCAUGUUUUCUUGAAAGUCACCCACUAAAGGUGUGAUGAGAUUUGGGGUUCGUGGUAAAUUGGGCCCUAGGUAUAUUGGUCCAUUCGAGGUUUUGGACAAGGUUGGAAAGGUGGCGUAUUGACUGGCUUUACCACCGGCUUUAUCUAAUGUGCACAAUGUAUUCCAUGUGUCAAUAUUGAAGAAAUAUGUUGCAGACCCAAGUCAUGUGGUAGCAUAUGAGUCGUUAUAUCUUCAUGAAGAUUUGACCUGCGAGGAGUUUCCAAUAUGAAUAGUGAACAGGAAGAAUCAGGUAUUACGACAUCGAACCAUUCGUUUUGUGAAAAUACAGUGGAACAAUCAUUCGGAAAGAGAGACUACUUGGGAUCUCGAAGAAGUGAUGAAGUUCGAGCAUCCACAGCUAUUUGAAACUUCAGGUAUGUAAAUUUCAAGGACGAUUUUUUUUAGGGGAAGAAUGUAAGAGCCCAUAUUUCUUAAGGGGCCUGGGCCAGCCGCUGGGCCUCGACACGUGGCAGGGGGAAGGAGACUUUUGAUCGGAAUCUUCCUCUUCCCCUACUCUGAUUUUCCUCUGAUUCCACCAGAAGAGGAGCGAUCGAAACGUACCUAAUUUUAGCCGAUCUUCACCUAUAAAAGACCCUCUUCCCCUCUCCUCUGGCGUCAUUCUUGGAAGCCUUUCCAUUAGAGGCUUGACCACAAGGUGUAAAGUGGGAGGAGCUCGGAGUGUUCACUGUCGAUCCGGCCGAAGGAGCUCGCCGGAGGCACGGUGAUCUAUCUCGCUUCUUUUUCGGUCUUUGGGUCACUGCUCCAUCUUGCAUUUGGCCAGCGAGUCGCCGGAUUGGGUGAUAAACAAACUUCCCCUGUUUUACUAUUGUUUUUCUUUAGUUCGACCGCCCGCCGCUGGCACGCCAAGGGCCGUCAACCAUGGGGCAUUGUCGACCACAGGUGGCUACUGCCACCAAGCCUUCUUCGUUCAGGAAGAAGAAAGAAGAGAGAGGGAGAGCCUCCUGGUUCUCUCUUCUUUCCUUGUCUCUCUUUCCUCUCUCUCUAAUUUCUCUAUGUUCCUGUCGGUACUAUCUCUCUCUAGCUUGAUCCGAGAAAAUUGGUUGUGAGGACUGCUAGAUAGUUCUCGGUUGCUACGUGAUGGUGGACCCUUUAGUAGAUCAGUAGAUAGUUCUGGGUUGUUGGAUACCUCGAGUAAUAUUUGAUGUUGACUUGGUUCUAUAGAGGAACAAUCUUUUGGACAAGAGGACGUUGAGCAGAAUUCUGCGCACCCCGAUUUGUAGAUCGCGGUGUGGGUAGGUGAUUAGUUUGUUUAGUUGUCAGCAAGGAGGUAAGAAUCCUUGUACACCGACCUACAUGAUAUAGAUAUUUUUGUACAUGUGUAUGUAUAAUAUGCUAAUUAUCCAGAUAAGUAAAAAGCAAGAAUAGUUUUAUGAUGGUUUUUGUAUAUGUUGGAUCAUGCAUGCUUGUGAUUGAUAGUAUGAUGGAUGCAUAUUUGGGCAUAACUUACAUGUGCAUAUUCGGACUAAUGGAUGUGGUGCGCUAGACUAACAAUGUUAUAUUGAUUGCCCCGUCACGAGCGGAAAAUGUGCCUGUAGUUAGUCUAAAGCCGAAAAUAAAGUUAAAAAGAAAUUGAUGUGUGGAUGUGAACUUGAUUAAUGAACAAGGAUUUUGGGCUUGUCUUGUUAUCAUUGGUUGCCCCAUCACAGGCUGAAAAUGUAAUACUGUUGGUAGCCCCAUUACCGACUGAAAAUGUGAAACUACUGGUUGUCCCGCCAUAGGCUAGAAAUGUGAAACUACUAGUGCCCUGUCAUGGCUGGAAAUGUGAAACUACUGGUUAUUGUCACAGGCUGAAAAUGUGAUACUAUUGAUUGCCCCAUCACAGGCUGGAAAUGUAAAACCACUGGUUGUUGUCACAGGCUGAAAAUAUGAUACUAUUGGUUGCCCCGUCGCGGGCUGGAAAUGUGAUACUAUUGGUUGCCCCGUCACGGGCUAGAAACGUGACCGAAAUUUGGCCUAAAGUCAAAAAAAUAAUUGAUCUGAAAAAUAUUUUAAAUACUAUUGAAGAAUUAUGAGAUAUCGUAUGAUAUAUUACUUUUGAGUGGCUGGAUUUCUUUUGAUAUUUGAUGUACCCAUGUAUAUUGUUUAUUCGAGUAUUAUUGAUAGUAGGUUUGUGAUUUCAUGAUGUGUGUGGUGAUUUUUUGCUAUUUUCAAACCUAUAUCAUUAUGUUGAUAUAAAUGUGUGGCGAUUUUUAUUGGGUUGUAAAGCUCCCAUCACUUUUUUAUUCCGAGUCGUAGGAUGCAUAGAUUUGGAUAGGUUGGGCAUAGAGUUCGAGUAUCAAAGUUAUCAAUUAGUUGUUUUUCUUUUAUACUGAUGAACAUUUGAAGAUCUUGUAAUUGAACCAGUUUGAUUAUUUGGAUAUAAUAGUUUUAUUUAUUUGGAUCAAAUGAUUAAUUGUGGAGUUGUCAAAUUUUUGUAGACCUUACAUGAUCUUUAGGGCACUGCUCUAGGACUCAUGCGGCCGUGUCACGUGGUCAACCCAAGUGAUGGGUUCGGGGCGUGACACAUUUAUACACAUUAGUAGUGUCUCUGAUUCUCUGGGAGCUUGAAUUUCAAAAUGACUUUGGGACAUUAACAUUUUAUCAUCCAAUGGUGCUGUUUGGACAUAUAAAAUGACUUCUAACAUUCAUAAUCUCAUACUAAUAUACUACUAAUGUAAUAUUUACUAAAAAUGACUAUUGUAUUUUGGAAUUAGGUCUAGGAGUGGGUUAUAGUUCUGGUGCUAAAGUUUCAAUUUUCUUAUUAUGUAGGUCCUUUUUGCUUAUUGUUGUGGUCCUUUUCCCAUUCAUUUGUAACUUUCGCACGAUCCUUCUCUAAGUUAUCAUGUAGUAGAUAUUCUGAGAUGUUUACAUGUUUUCUCUGUGUUUUUAGAACUCUCUCUCACACUCUCUUUUAAAGUGAAACAUUUACAUAUAUAUAUAGAGAGAGAGAUACAUGCAUAAUACAUACAUGCAUACAUAUAUAUACACACACACACACAAUUCACCAAAAGCUUCUCAAUUGAGCUCUUGACAAAUUUAUUUUGCAGACAUUUUAACUUUCUAAAUAGUUUUAUCUCUAGACUUAGAUAAAUAUUGGGAGAAGACAUGCAAACUUCUCAGUUGAAUAUAUAGAACAUGAGGAGAAGCAGUAAAGCUAGGCCUAAGUUUUAAUAUUUCGUGGUUUAUUAUAUGAGGAUAAUUGUGAAUAACAAUCCUAGGUCUAGAUGAUAAAGCAUCGUGAUUAAAUUAGAUGUUAGAAUCAUUUAAAAGGAGCUUCAAUUAUGAAAUAAAUGUUUAUUCGACUUUCUUGAUGCUAGGUGAGUUCCUUAAAAGCGAUAAUCCAUAACUCAAAUAUGUUAAUAAUGAUCAUAAGCUGGUCAUCCCAUAUGAGGGAUAAACAAACUUAAUUGUUGCAAAAAAUGGGUAAAUAAAGGGUUGUUAAAAUGUUUCUUAUUAGUGUUUCACCAGAAGUUAAGCUAAUUUUGUUGAUAAAUGUGUAACACUUGAUUUGGAUAAUUCUUGUAAACAACAGCAUGCGAUGUCACCUGGUUGCAAUGAUAAGAAAGUGGGUGUCCUUAUGUAUGGUAAAGGUGGGUAAGAAAUCUAAUUGAAGAAAUCUUUAACGGGCUCUUGGAUAUCAGAUCCUUAAUAAGGCAUAAUUAUUAGCUAAUAAAUACAAAAUAAGGAGAGUUUAUAUGUAUGCUCAUAAAAGACUAGAUAGAGGGAAUUAAAAACCCGAAGAAGUUGAGACUGGUGAUGGUUACACGUACCUGUAUAUGGGCAAGUACAAUACCGAAAAUUGGCCAGGGAAUGACAACACUGGAUAUUAUGUUGGAAUACCAGUUCAUAAAGAUCUGAAAGAUUUAAUCAUUCUUGAUUUUGGGAAAGAUUGAGGGAUGAGCUACUAGCUAUUUAGUUGGUAUUGCAGGAUGAGAUAUUUCAUUUAUCAGCACACAUCAAGAAUUGAAGUUGCAGUUUUGACAGGGAUUUUUGCUUUAAUUUUAACUAAUGUUAUCAGUUUUGGGCUGCAACAACCAGAGAGUUUAAAGAGCUUCAAAAAUUAUUUAAAAAAAUUGAGAACAAGAAUUCCUUCUAUAUUUGAAGAAAAGUUGAAAAAUAGAAGUUUCAAGCAAUGACAAUUAACUAACACUUCUAAUUCAGGUCUUUUAGCAUUACCUCUGAUUUCUGAGUACUUAUUUUUAUUCCUUCUUUGUUGUAAUAAUUGAGAAUAUGGCAAAUGUAAAUCACAUGCUUUUAAAUUCCAUCACAAUUCUUCUUAAAUGAUCUCGUAAAUAUUUGCUUAGAGCCUAUCAAAUUAAGGAAUAAAACUACUCUAUCAAAAUUAUAAGGUGGAUUGUCAUUAAACAAUGAACAAUAAUUUAGGUCUUGGUGGAAUAGGACAGGAUUGUCAGUAUGGUACCAUUCUAACAGGAAACUGGCUCCUGAAGCAUAUUUGGGACACCAGUCUAUUGAUGGGUUGGGACGUCCCAACCAUCCUGGUUGCAUUCCGCACUUGGGAUGCACCAGGCUGGUUGGACAGACCAGGACACAAGUUUUUUUUAUUUUUCCUUUUUAUUUUUGUUGUUAAUGACAGUUUCGGUCUGUCCUGACCGUAGCAUCCAUCCAUUUCCAUACCUCCCAGGAGCAAAUCAAGACAAGGCCUGAUACCAAGAUUUAAUCCCUUGGAAACAAAUGUUUGAGAUUUCUCAUUUUAGACUUUCAAAUUUUUAAUAUAUUUGUUCAUCCACAUCAUUAUAAAAUGAAAAGUGGGAAAAAAUCUUGCAAGAGGGAUGAGCCUUGUCAUUAUCUGCAUAGUAUAAAUCGAAGAUUUUCUUUAACUUGUCUUUAUUUGGAGGUGAAACAUCAAAUACAGUAUGCUUCCCCGCUAUUCUCCUACAUACGGCAAUUCUUUCAUAUAGCCACUGUAAAAAUCCUAUUUGCACAGCAAAAUUACUUAGAAAGCGCUUAUGGAAGCUUCUUUUUCAAGCCAUUGCUAUUUGUUGUUAGUAGCAAAUGCUUUCUUGCUAUACUUUGUAUCAAGUCUCAUCAUCAUCUCUGUCCUAGACAUAAAAGAACUAGAGGAAUUAAUGAAGGAGAUGAAGAUUCUGUAAUGAUGAAGCUGACCCUUCAUACUGGUUUCUUCAUC